rnacentral:rRNA from 1 species
UACGGAGGAUGCGAGCGUUAUCCGGAUUUAUUGGGUUUAAAGGGUGCGCAGGCGGCACGGCAAGCCGGCGGUCAAAUCGCGGGGCUCAACCCCGCCCAGCCGUCGGAACUGCCGGGCUAGAGUGGGCGAGAAGUGCGCGGAAUGCGUGGUGUAGCGGUGAAAUGCAUAGAUAUCACGCAGAGCUCCGAUUGCGAAGGCAGCGCACCGGCGCCCUACUGACGCUCAGGCACGAAAGCGUGGGUAUCGAACAGG